CGGACACAUCACUUUGAUUCACCGGUUUCCGUACGAUCGCUAAAGUUAAGCAAUGCCGAGCCUAGUUAAUACCUAGAUGGGUGACCACUUGAGAGUACCAGGUGCUGCAAG